GUUAAAAGCAUUUGCUUAACAAAUGUGUGCAUUGGAGAUCGCCUCCCUAGAGUUAAUCAGGGGGUACUGGAAUUCAAUGUGUAGCGGUGGAAUGCGUAGAUAUAUUGAGGAACACCAGAGGCUAAGGCGAGUGCCUAGGAUAUAACUGACGCUGAGGCUUGAAAGCGUGGGGAGCAAAUGGGAUUAGAUACCCCAGUAGUCCACGCCGUAAACGAUGAGCAUUGGGCAUUUGACAUCUGGUCGAGUGCUGUAGCUAACGCGUUAAAUGCUCCGCCUGGGUAGUAUAUAUGCAAAUAUGAAACUCAAAGAAAUUGACGGGGACCUGAACAAGUGGUGGAGCAUGUUGCUUAAUUCGAUAAUACACGAAAAACCUUACCAAGGCUUGUAAUCUAUUGCUAAGCUAUAGAAAUAUAGUGGAGGUUAUCAGUAAGACAGGUGGUGCAUGGCUGUCGUCAGCUCGUGUCUUGAGAUGUUUGGUUAAGUCCCGUAACGAGCGCAACCCUACUCUCUAGUUACUUAGUUCUAGAGUGACUGAAUCGUAAGAUAUAGGAAGGAUGGGGCCAAGUCAAGUCAUCAUGCCCCUUAUGCCUUGGGCUGCAAACGUGCUACAAUGGUAGGUACAAUGUGUUGCAAACUAGCGAUAGUGAGCCAAUCACCUAAAGCCUAUCUCAGUCCGGAUAAAAGGCU
rnacentral:rRNA from 1 species